rnacentral:rRNA from 1 species
GUACACGCUGUGACUAGCAUAUCAAUAAGCGGAGGAAAAGAAACUAACAAGGAUUCCCCUAGUAACGGCGAGUGAAGCGGGAAGAGCUCAAAUUUGAAAUCUUAAAGGGUUUCCCUUUACGAAUUGUAGUUUAAAGAAGUGUUUUCUGUUGAGGUUUUGGUAAAGUUCUUUGGAAUAGGACAUCAUAGAGGGUGAGAAUCCCGUAUUUGACCUUUACUUUCAACUUUGUGAUACACUUUCAAAGAGUCGGAUUGUUUGGGAAUGCAGUCCAAAAUGGGUGGUAAAUUUCAUCUAAAACUAAAUAUUGGCGAGAGACCGAUAGCGAACAAGUACCGUGAGGGAAAGAUGAAAAGAACUUUGAAAAGAGAGUUAAACAGUACGUGAAAUUGUCAAAAGGGAAGCGUUUGACACCAGUGUUGUUUUUCUGAAAAUCAAUUAAAGAACUGUUUAUGCUAAGCUGUCUAGACUUUAUCAGCUAUCUGUUUAGUUUUGAGCUUUUCUUUAAUACACUUUUCAGUUAACAAGUCAACAUCAAUUUCUUUUGCUGUAAAAAAGCUUGAGGAAGGUGGCUUGAGAUUCGUCUUAAGUGUUUAUAGCCUCUUGCCUAUGCAGUCGGAGAGAUUGAGGUCUGCAGCGUAGAUCCUUCGGGGCUAAAUGCAUUUGUGCUAAGUUAUAGCAUUUCAUAGACAACUUGUUGACUAUGAUUUGUCUUGUAGCUUACUCGCUUAUGUUAUUUUACCUACGCUUAGGAUGUUGAGUCGUAGAGCACGCAG